rnacentral:rRNA from 1 species
CCUACGGGUGGCAGCAGUGGGGAAUAUUGGACAAUGGGGGGAACCCUGAUCCAGCCAUGCCGCGUGUGUGAAGAAGGCCCUCGGGUUGUAAAGCACUUUCAGUGAGGAAGAACGCCUGGUGGUUAAUACCCAUCAGGAAAGACAUCACUCACAGAAGAAGCACCGGCUAACUCCGUGCCAGCAGCCGCGGUAAUACGGAGGGUGCGAGCGUUAAUCGGAAUUACUGGGCGUAAAGCGCGCGUAGGUGGCUUGAUAAGCCGGGUGUGAAAGCCCCGGGCUCAACCUGGGAACGGCAUCCGGAACUGUCAAGCUAGAGUGCAGGAGAGGAAGGUAGAAUUCCCGGUGUAGCGGUGAAAUGCGUAGAGAUCGGGAGGAAUACCAGUGGCGAAGGCGGCCUUCUGGACUGACACUGACACUGAGGUGCGAAAGCGUGGGUAGCAAACAGGAUUAGAUACCCUGGUAGUC